UUCCAGCAGGGAUCGUCUCCCCGCCCGCUGGAGUUUGGGUCGGGCCUCCCGGCUGACAGGCAGAAAAUUCUACCCAUAGGAACAAGUGAAGCUGCAAAUUAAUUUAAACAUGGGAAUAAUCAUUUUAAAUCUGAUUCAUUGGUGGACCAUAGGCAAAUGUAGGCGAACAGCGUCAUGGGUGAAAUAUGCAAGGGACUUGGUGUGGGUUUGGGCUGUAGAUUUUCAAAUAAGUUGAAGUUUGUACAAUGUGGAGAAUGAGAUCCUGGCUGGGGGAGUAUUGGAAUAGUUGAAUCUGGAAAUGGCAAAGCCAAUAGAAGCUUUUAAUUCUAAUACUAAACACUUCGAUUUGCAAGGCAUAGGAAAUAAGAUUUUUUAACUCUUUCCUUGUCAAAUACCAGACAAGCACUAUAAAAAUGUUUUAAAAUUACAGACAUUAAUAUUGAAUUGAAAGGACACAGUCCAUAGAAAAUUUCAGUACCACAGAAAAAACUACCUAUGUUUGAUUGAUCAAUAAUAAUCCUCUGACAAAUUCAUACUCAAUUACAUUUCCUAUGGAAUAUGCGGCUUUUAGAUAGUGUAAGCUCCAGAAACCAUUGCAUCUCACAGAAAAUGCGUGAAGCAACAAUACUGCAACAAAUAGAAGAUAUCUACUACCCCAUCCUUGCAGUCGUCGGCGUUCUUGACUAUUGCUGACUUCAUCUCAUCUGGAGAUCUUCCCACUAUGGCCCACAGGCUUAUAGCCCCAUCCCCACAGGAAUGGUUUACCUUCCCAGGAACAUAAACAGCACAUGAACUGCAGCGAUUCAAGAAGGCAGCUCAUCAUCAGUGUCGCAAGGAUGAUUCAGAAUGGGCAACAAUUGCUGGCCUUGCCAGGGCUACUGAC